CCUACGGGGGGCAGCAGUGAGGAAUAUUGGUCAAUGGGCGUAAGCCUGAACCAGCCAAGUCGCGUGAGGGAUGAAGGUUCUAUGGAUCGUAAACCUCUUUUAUAAGGGAAUAAAGUGCAGGAAGUGUCCCGUUUUGUAUGUACCUUAUGAAUACGGAUCGGCUAACUCCGUGCCAGCAGCCGCGGUAAUACGGAGGAUCCGAGCGUUAACCGGAUUUAGUGGGUUUAAAGGGUGCGUAGGCGGCCUUUUAAGUCAGCGGUGAAAGUCUGUGGCUCAACCAUAGAAUUGCCGUUGAAACUGGGCGCCUUGAGUUCACAACAGGCAGGCGGAAUUCGUGGUGUAGCGGUGAAAUGCAUAGAUAUCACGAGGAACCCCGAUUGCGAAGGCAGCCUGCCGGGGUGCGACUGACGCUGAGGCUCGAAGGUGCGGGUAUCAAACAGGAUUAGAUACCCCAGUAGUC
rnacentral:rRNA from 1 species